AAAUUGAAGAGUUUGAUCAUGGCUCAGAUUGAACGCUGGCGGCAGGCCUAACACAUGCAAGUCGAACGGUAACAGGAAGCAGCUUGCUGCUUCGCUGACGAGUGGCGGACGGGUGAGUAAUGUCUGGGAAACUGCCUGAUGGAGGGGGAUAACUACUGGAAACGGUGGCUAAUACCGCAUAACGUCGCAAGACCAAAGAGGGGGACCUUCGGGCCUCUUGCCAUCAGAUGUGCCCAGAUGGGAUUAGCUUGUUGGUGAGGUAACGGCUCACCAAGGCGACGAUCCCUAGCUGGUCUGAGAGGAUGACCAGCCACACUGGAACUGAGACACGGUCCAGACUCCUACGGGAGGCAGCAGUGGGGAAUAUUGCACAAUGGGCGCAAGCCUGAUGCAGCCAUGCCGCGUGUAUGAAGAAGGCCUUCGGGUUGUAAAGUACUUUCAGCGGGGAGGAAGGUGUUGUGGUUAAUAACCACAGCAAUUGACGUUACCCGCAGAAGAAG
rnacentral:rRNA from 1 species